rnacentral:rRNA from 1 species
GUCUCAAAGAUUAAGCCAUGCAUGUCUCAGUAUAAGCUUCUACACGGCGAAACUGCGAAUGGCUCAUUAAAGCAGUUAUAAUUUAUUUGAUGGUCACUGCUACAUGGAUAACUGUGGUAAUUCUAGAGCUAAUACAUGCACCAAAACCCAACUUCGCAGAAGGGUUGUAUUUAUUAGAUACAGAACCAUCGCAGGCUCUGCCUGGUUGUGGUGAUUCAUGAUAACUCGAUGAAUCGUGUGGCUUGGCCGACGAUGCAUCUUUCAAGUUUCUGACCUAUCAGCUUCCGACGGUAGGGUAUGGGCCUACCGUGGCAAUGACGGGUAACGGAGA